rfam:Anolis carolinensis unplaced genomic scaffold chrTn0060, whole genome shotgun sequence.
CUAAAGGCCCUUUUCAGGGCCACCACCUGCUCAGCAAAGAGCUGCAU